rnacentral:lncRNA from 1 species
UUUUUUUUUAGGAGAAUCACUUUAAUUAAAGGCCUCCCAGAAACUUUUGCAUAUUUGUCUUCUCAAGUAUAGGUCUCAGCCAGAAGUGUUGCAGAUUCACUGUGGCACUACUGAUAUUCACAGCUGCACAUGGAGUAUCACAGGGCUUCUUAACAUACUGUGGCCACUCGUAUCUGAUGAAAGUGAAAGUGAAAGUCGAAAGAUGGUAACGAUAACCCUGUAUGCA